rnacentral:rRNA from 1 species
UACAGAGGUCCCAAGCGUUGUUCGGAUUCACUGGGCGUAAAGGGUGCGUAGGUGGUCAGGUAAGUCGGAUGUGAAAUCUCCGAGCUCAACUCGGAAACUGCAUUGGAAACUACCUGGCUCGAGGGUUGGAGGGGGGACUGGAAUGCUUGGUGUAGCAGUGAAAUGCGUAGAUAUCAAGCGGAACACCAGUGGCGAAGGCAGCCUCCUGGGCCAGCACUGACGCUCAUGCACGAAAGCGUGGGGAGCAAACAGG